GACAUGUCAAAUCCUUGGGUAAUCAAGGAGACCUCAGAAUUGGCAUUUCAAUUAGAAAAAGAGAAAAGAGAUGGUAUUUUUCUGGUCACAAGCAUGCAAUAGAAUAUUUACGGUUCAUUGUUCAAUUGAUCCUGACACCAGGUCUGUAACUACCAAGCUCUGAAUAUGGAAACAUUUAUAUAAAGAUGACUCUGUAUAUUUUUCUUUCUUUAUUAAGUGAAUUUAACUUUUUGGUAAAAAAAUUUAAAUUUUACUAUACUAAAGAGUACCGGAAUAGCAUUGGUUCUUUUGGUAAUAACUUCUAUUAAAAUUUUGUAUUUUGAUUUCAUUGAUAAAGUACUAGCUAGAAAAUAUUUAAUGUACGUAGGUAUUGUUAAUGCUCAUUACAAAUGCCUAUAGUCGAAGCUCCCGUUGUAACAUGUCUAGUGGUGGGGUUGAGCUCCUCAAAUUAAUCCUCGCAAAAGAACAUUGUCAAUUUUGCACCAAUCCAACAUUAAUUACAUUAAACCAUAAACACAGUGUUUUAAUGCUCGAUAAUAAUUGCUAAUUCCAAAGUUUAUUUUGAAUAUAAGUUAGAAAAUGACUUGGCAUAUGUCUCUUCUCCCAGGGAAUCUAGACAAAAGGACAUACACUGCCAACCUUUUUUCCUUCUCCUUGAUGGUACAAAUCUCUGGGCAAAAAUACCAAGGGCACACUUGACAAUGCUCUGUGAAACCCUAAAAGAGUGCUUUUUUUUAAAAAACCAAUGUAUAGUACAUGAAAGUU
rnacentral:lncRNA from 1 species